rfam:Aedes aegypti strain Liverpool supercont1.541 genomic scaffold, whole genome shotgun sequence.
CCUCUCAUGGCGUAGUGGUUAACGAGCCCCAACUAGAGAUCGGGGAGUCGUGAGUUCGAUUCUCACUGAGAAGA